rnacentral:tRNA from 1 species
GGACCCAUGGCGCAACGGUAGCGCGUCAGAUUCCAGUUCCUGGAAUUUCCUGAAGGUUAAGCGUUCGAAUCGCUUUGGGUUCA